UGAUUAUGGCGGCGAGAUUCGGCGCGGGUUGUUUUGUCUGAUGCGUGUUCGUCGCGAGUUUGGUGAGUUGGCGAUCUAGGUUCUCUUCCUCAUUUCGGUCGCGCUCUGCUGAGUUAUAGAAGACUACGGGUCAUUGUUUUAGGAUUUCGGAAUGUUGAAUGAUUGUGUUCUGUUGGGAAAAGAAGAUUGGAGAUGAAUUUAUUGAAAUCAGGAUGAUGCUUUGGGGUUAUGUCCUUGAGAUAUUGCAAUGCUUCUGUUAUUUACAUGGUGAUUAAGCGCUCGUAUUGCCUCUAAAAGGGAAAAUGUGAGGAUACUUCUGCGCCAAUGGGCGAGAGUAGUUGAUUUGGUUCUUCUUCUUGAUAGGGGAUGGUUGACGGGAUGAAUUGAUUUAAAUUCGAGGGAUUCGAGGGUGAAAUUUCUUAAUGUACUUGAUAGAGCCAUUGAUGGUUGUGCAGAGUUCUGAUUUGGGAAUGGCAUUUUCUCCGUCAUGGUUGGAAUGUGUUUCCAACUGGACAGAGUUUCUGUGUGAUCUUGUCCUGAAUGAGUUAUUGGGUGAGCUGGAUUAUGGGUGACUGCUAAAUCUUUAUACCAUGUUUAUGAAUGCGAAAAAAAAUCUGGCGAAAUGGAGCAGCCAAACCAUGGUCAAAUUCAGUUACCGGAUUGGUGUCUGUAUGGUGGAGGAUUAUGCAUAUAUGAUAGGGAGAUUAACUGCACAGACAUUUAUGGCCAAUCCUCAAUCGUAACCUGACAUUGACUCUACAACCAUGCUUAUCAUGGAUGAGCUGCUGUAUGUAAUUUGGUGGAGAUGGUUUUGCUGCACGGCUUGGCUCCACUUGGCCUUUCUCCAUAUCGGUGUGGUACUCCCUUUGCCCCCAAAACUUGGGCCUUACAUAUACAGGAAUUGAAAUACUAUAGCCCUAGAUUCCCGGUCUCCUAUUCUUGCAUUGCAAAAGUAAAGGUUCUGUGUGAAAGACAAGAUCAACAAUGAGACUAGUUUCAUCAGCCUAUAUGAGAUGUGAAGGGUUCCGUUUGCAAAAAUAUAAGAAAAUAGAGGGUUCCAUUGCAAAAAGUAAAGGAUUUUGUGCCUGCUCCUCUUGUCAGGAUUUGGGUGUGAACAUGAUGAUCUAUGGAGCUCUUUGAAGAGUUCAUCGAUGUCAGUCAGGGAGUGAGAAGACUUGGUGCUGCAGCAGUCAACAUGUGCCAUAUAGCCCUCGGGAAUUGCAGAAGCAUACUGGGAAUACUGUCUAAAGCCAUGGGACAUGGCUCCCGGGGUUUCCCAUCAUUGAAGAAGCCGUAGGGGCCGUGACUUGUACGGACGCAGGCAAGUUCUGGGUUUUCGGCAGAUUGCAGCUCCUGGAAAGGAUCAAACCCGCCACUGAGAAACUGAAGGAGGAAGGAAUCGAUUCCUCGUUAUGGUACAAGCCAGAAAAUUAUCACACAGAUCUUUAAAUACGUGUCGGAUUCGGGUAACUUUAUGGCUUUUGUUCAAUAAUAUUAUGAUCUAUGACAAUCUUUAGCGUCUCUUCUCAUCAA